rnacentral:rRNA from 1 species
CGGACGGGUGAGUAACGCGUGGGUAACCUGCCUUGUACUGGGGGACAACAGUUAGAAAUGACUGCUAAUACCGCAUAAGCGCACAGUAUCGCAUGAUACAGUGUGAAAAACUCCGGUGGUACAAGAUGGACCCGCGUCUGAUUAGCUAGUUGGUAAGGUAACGGCUUACCAAGGCGACGAUCAGUAGCCGACCUGAGAGGGUGACCGGCCACAUUGGGACUGAGACAUGGCCCAA